rnacentral:ncRNA from 1 species
GCUUUUGGUGUUGAGUAUAGCACUCAACUAAUAGGGAAGUUGGUACGAUUUAUUUCAAGCCCAACGCUGCCCCCGCAACGGUAUAUAAGCCAAAAUGUAUCAAACGUCACUGUGUCAAAACAUGGGAAGGCGAUACAUUGAUUAACGUAAUAAUUAAUCACUUAUGAGCCCGGAGACCUGCCACUAG